ACCAGGACUAAACCAGGACUAAACCAGGUCUAAACCAGGUCUAAACCAGGACUAAACCAGGUCUAAACCAGGACUUAACCAGGUCUAAACCAGGACUAAACCAGGUCUAAACCAGGACUAAACCAGGACUAAACCAGGUCUAAACCAGGUCUAAACCAGGUCUAAACCAGGACUAAACCAGGACUAAACCAGGACUAAACCAGGUCUAAACCAGGUCUAAACCAGGUCUAAACCAGGACUAAACCAGGACUAAACCAGGUCUAAACCAGGUCUAAACCAGGUCUAAACCAGGUCUAAACCAGGACUAAACCAGG
ensembl:lncRNA